UGACAGAAGUAAAGAUGAAAAUUAGAUGCUUGCCCUUCCUUCCUUCCUUCCUUCCUUCCUUCCUUCCUUCCUUCCUUCCUUCCUUCCUUCCUUCCUCACUAGUGGAUAUACCAAACAGAAGAUGACAAGUAUGACAUGAAGUCAGCAUAAAAGGUUUCCUACAAAAGAUCUAUCAUUGGAAAUAUGUCCUCACAGAUCUGCAUGAAAAAGUGAUGACCAUGUGCUUUCAGAAACAAGGCUACAAAAGUGACUGAGAUGGAGCCAGAACCCAAAUGGACUAUCAAAAUUCUUAAAUCAUUCGUGGAGAAGAAAUUGGGUGGACAGUUUCUCCAGAUUUCUUCAGAUGAAGAAGUUAUUUUUCAAGAGCAGGACUACCCCUUUGCAGUGACAUCAACAUUGUUACUGAAAAGGAUUUCUGCCACAGAAAGAAACGAAAGAAAGAAAGAGAAACAAGGAAAGAUCUAGCAUCAUUGACAAUCCCCUUGUGAACUGCCUUUGACAAUUCUUUUGGAAGCCAUUCACAGUCAUCAUAUGGUAGUUCUGUGACAGCUUUAGAGGAUCUUGAAUGAAAUGGAUUUUUUGAACUCCUUCCUUUGUGUUAUAACCAAUUGUGUCCUUUUCUGGAUUGUAAGUCCCUUCACUCAAUCACUCAGGCCCAUCUUGCAUUUGGACUACUGAAAUGUGCUGUACAUGGGGCUGAAUUUAGGUAAGGUAUAUUUAAGAAGAUACAGAUGGCACAGAAUGCAACCGUGUGGACAGUUCUAGGGGUCUCCAGAGUUUCCCAGGAACAUCUGGUGUGUGAGCUGCACUAGUUGUUCAUUUGCUUCCAGAUCCAAUUCAAGAUGUUGAUUAUUACCUUUAAAACCCUAUAUGGCAUAGGUCCAGACUACCUGAGAAACUGUCUCACCUCAGUGGGACUGGCCCAACCCACUUGCUCAGGCAGAAGGAGCAUGCUGGGGAUCCAGUUGGGCAAAGAAUUUCAGCUGGCUCUCACCCUCUGGAAUAUCGUGCUCCUUGAGAUGAGAUCUGCCUCCAUUCUCUUGACCUUCCGAAAUGGCCCCAAACUUGGCUCUUUCAAUUGGCCUGGGCCCCCAAUGGGGGUAUUUUAUACUGGAAGUGUUAGUGGAUUAAAAAGACCCCAUCUCCACUCCAUUGUAAACUAGUUUCUAUAUUUUUGUUAAUUAUAAUAUGUAACAUUUUAAUGUUCUAAUGUUUUAUAUUGUCAUUUUAUCAUGUUUUAAGCCACCGAGAGUUGCUUGAUAGCAGGGUGUCAGCAUAUGAUUGAUUGAUCCAGUGAUGAGUUAUUUAAAAAUCCUAGCUGUAAAAAUCAUGCUUCUCUGUCCCUCUUUUUAAUGUAUUUGAAGUCAUUCUUAUGCCACUAUACAAAUUACAUGUAUGAUGCAUCAAAAAUGAAGAAAUGUAUUGUGUGCCUUUGUAAAAUUGCCUGAAUGUAUUUAUAAGUUGUAUGUAAGGAAAAGGCAGAGUUUUGUGUACAAGACAUUUUGGUCUUUUGGGAAACUGUGAGAAGGUCUAUAGAGGAAAGGAAACAAGGAAAAAAACAAUAUUGUAGGGGAGGACAUACCUGGAAUCAUUCUUCUUUAGUCCCAAAUUGAAAAAAACCAACAGAAACAGAAAAACCAAAAGGAAAUUCAAGUAAAUUCAAGAGCCUUGGUAGUACAGUGGUCUAAAGCACCCUGUUAUUAAGACCAGCUGCCUGCAAUUACUGCAGGUUCGAAUCUCGCCAGGCUCAAGGUUGACUCAGCCUUCCAUCCUUUCUAAGGUAGGUAAAUUGAGGACCCAGUUGUGGGG